rnacentral:snoRNA from 1 species
CCCUCCUACAAAGGCAUGUCUGUAGUUCCCUGUCUUUGGACCCAUAAGAAUUGGAGGCAACAACAUGUGGACUUGGAAAAGUGUGGGGCCCACUUGCUCUCCGGAGACUCAAGAUCACCCUUUCUACACAC